GAGGUCCGAAGGCGAUCAGAUACCGCCCUAGUUCUAACCAUAAACGAUGCCAGCCAGCGAUCCGGCUGUGUUCCUCAAAUGACACGCCGGGCAGCUUCCGGGAAACCAAAGCUUUUGGGUUCCGGGGGAAGUAUGGUUGCAAAGCUCGAACUUAAAGGAAUUGACGGAGGGGCACACAAGGAAUGGAGCCUGCGGCUUAAUUUGACUCAACACGGGGAAUCUCACCAGGUCCGGACACAAGAAGGAUUGACAGAUUGAGAGCUCUUUCUUGAUUUUGUGGCAGGUGGUGCAUGGCCGUUCUUAGUUGGUGGAGUGAUUUGUCUGCUUGAUUGCGAUAACGAUCGAGACUCUAGCCUGCUAAAUAGACGUUCCGAUCAUUCUAGUCGGACGUUCUUCUUAGAGGGACACGUGGCGUUUAGCUACACGAGACAGAGCAAUAACAGGUCUGAGAUGCCCUUAGAUGUCCUGGGCCGCACGCGCGCUACAUUGAAGGAAUCAGCGUGUGCUUUCCCGGUCCGACAGGAUUGGGUAACCCGUUGAAACUCCUUCGUGCUAGGGAUAGAAAGCUGGAAUGUUUUCUUGAACGAGGAAUUCCUAGUAAGCGCGAAUCAUAAGUUCGUGCUGAUUACGUCCCUGCCCCUUGUGCACACCGCCCGUCGCUAUUAGCGAUUGAGUGAUUUAGUGAGGCCUUCGGACCGCUCGACGCUUCUACUUCGGUAGACCGUUGCGGUGGAAAGAUGUCCAAACUUGAU
rnacentral:rRNA from 1 species